GAUUAAUUAACAUAUUAAUUAAUCCUUGCCAUAAAUAAUUAAACCAUUUAAUUAUUCUUACUCAUCUCCUUUGUUUCUUCAAUCUCCACCUUACACGGUGUAUGAUCCAUUAGGUUCCUUUUAGCGAGGCAGUGGGCGAUUAAAACUCUUUCAAAUCGAUUGUGAAUUGAAACUUACUUUCAAUUCUCCCUUUAGUGUUUAUAUACGUUUAGGGCUUCCACAAACCAAGAGUGACACCUAGCAGCAUAUCAUGGUUACCCAAGCUAAUCAGAAGAGGUAGAGAACCUAUUCAGUUUAGGAUUACAAAUGCAAUACGGUCUUUUUCUAAUACAAUACUCUUGACCACAUUGUUUGGUUUGAUAGUUUAUCAUGUCUACUAUCCAAUGUGAUUCGUGUGCUUAUAUGAUUACCUUGAAUGUGAUUACCUUGAAUGUGAUUUGGAAAGACUUUCCUAAAUCUCAUUCAUACUCUGGCCAAAGAUUCUAAAUCAUAUCAUAGAGUAUUCUCCCCCAAACGGUUUGAAGGUUAGAGAUCCCUUGUUGCGCAUUCACUUGCCUCCAUAGCUAAGUGGCUUAACCCCAACGAUGCCGUGGACACCCACGGAUGGGGUGACUUUGACAUAAUCAAAGAUCAAAGACUUAACCACAAGACAACUGUGAUGCCUCAGGUCAAAGGACUACUUUGCAUUAUCCCAACCAUGAGUUCUCAUGUGACAUGAAUAUGAGAACUCUUCGUUGAUCGUGUUCAGUGAACUCAUUCUCUAUUGAGCACCUACGUACUUGUCUUGAUGUCACACACACCAAUGACUCGAGACUAGUCACUCUCCCUGAGAGAAUACACAGCACGUACUGAUCUUAACGGACUGUCAAUGCCCAAUUGGCAAUCCUAUUAUCAGGAACGUUUAGGAUGUGUCUAUGAAAGAAUGGUCUCAUGAAUCUAACUUCUUUAGAUCGCAUUCUCCCAAUCACAUAUUCCUUGGACUUUAUCGUUUAAGCAUAUAACAUUUAUAUGAGACGGACUCAAACAAUAAUCUUUGCCCUUGAUAUUAAACUAGAUUAGUUUAACAUGUGAAAUGUCCGUAAAGUAUCAUCAUAUGAUUGGUUUUAGGGCACAUUUCCAACAAUCUCCCACUUGCACUAUAACCAAUCAGCUUGGUCAUCAGUGAUGAUACCUCUUCUGUAGUCAUUUCAUAAAUGGCUGAAUAGUAGGCCUAGACAAUGGAUAUCUAUAUGUUAUCCAUAGAAGCAACCUUGAGAAUAACGACGUCACCAUUAUACAUGAUUCUCAAUCAUGUGGUUCAGUAUCUCAUUUGAGUUCGGAUCUUGAUGAGACCUUGAUUCCCUGGCUUGAGCUAUCGCCCCAUUAAUGUCAUAGUGUAAGUACACUAGAUACACUUUCUGGUUGGAACCGAAUAGAGAGUUCAUAAAUGAACUUUCCCAUCCAAACAACAUUGUUGUAAGCUUCUAUAUGGCAAUAUAUUUUGCAUUCAUAAUGGAACACACUAAAGUCAUUACUUUUAAUGUUUCCAUCCAAAUAUCUCUUUAGUCAUAAUAAAGAGAUAUCUGAUUAUCUCUUCAUUCAUAAUGAAGAAACAUCCAAUGAUGGAUAAGAUUCAUAAUCUAAUACAUUUACGCUUCCUUUAUGUUACUCUAAUUCUUCCUCAUUCUUUGAGGAAUCUAUCCUUUAGUAUUUCUUAAAUACUUAAAGACUCACUUGACAGUUGCCAUGGUUCUGAUCCUGGGCUUGCACUGAUAUCGUCUUGUACCGUUCUAGGUACAACUCAUAUCAAUGUUUUUCAUACAAUAUGAAAUACAUAAAUCCCCUUUAUGCG
rnacentral:lncRNA from 1 species